rnacentral:lncRNA from 1 species
CUCGUCACAUCACAUCACGCCACACCAUGUCAUGACACACCACAUCAUGUCAUGUCACAUCAUGCUGCAUCAUGUCACAUCACUCCACAUCAUGCCACAUCAUGCCACGUCAUGUUGUGUCACACCACAUCAUCUCAUGUCAUGCCACGUCAUGUCAUGCCACAUCAUGUCAUGUCAGGUCGUGCCAUGUCACGUCACACCACAUCAUGUCACAUCAUGCCACGUCAUGCCACGUCUUGUCACAUCAGACCAUUGCAUGUUACAUCAUGCCACGUCAUGCCACAUCAUGUCACAUCACACCAUGGCAUGUCACAUCAUGCCACAUCACGUCACGUCAUGUUGCACAUGUCACAACAUGUCAGGUCAUGUCAUGUCAUGCCAUGUCAUGCCACACCACAUAUGUCACAUCAUACCACAUCAUGUCAUGCCAUGUCAUGCCACAUCACACCACAUCAUGUCACAUCAUGCCGCGUCAUGCCAUGUCAUGUCACAUCACACCAUGACAUGUCACAUCAUGCCACAUCAUGUUGCACUAUGCAAUGUCGUGCCAUGUCAUGUCAUGUCAUGUCACACCACGUCACGCCAUGCCACGUCAUGCCACGCCACACGGGGACCGCCUGGGGGGCCAGCGAGGAGGCCCGGCAGUGGUGUUUGUCAUGCGGGGAGGCCCCGGGCGUGAAGGCCCCCGCCCAGGUGGGGGGAUCCGGAGGUUCCCGAGCUGCUUUUGAUGUCCUCGGGCCCCAUUUYGGGGGCUCCCAGGACAGUCUCUGUGGCCUCCUCGUAGCCCGAUGGGUGACAGUGACGUGGGGUGGCACAGGGGCCCCUGCGGCGGGGACCGAUGGGCAGCGCCGGGUGCCACCCGCUCAAGGCCUGGCUGACGGCAGGUCGCGGGGGGGUGGCCGUGGUGUCCCGGGGGCCACUCGGGUGCCCCCCACGCCGGGUGCCCCGGGUGUCCCCGCCGGCCGCCCCCGUGUCACCUGGCCGGCGGCGCUCGGGGCCGAUGGUUCCGCAGCCCCGGCGGGGAGGGAGCUCGGGGAGGGGCCUGGANNNNNNNNNNNNNNNNNNNNNNNNNN